rnacentral:misc_RNA from 1 species
AGAAUUCACAGUUAUAAAUUUGGAUGCUUCUUUGCUUUCAGACAAAUCAGAGGUACUAUUUAUUGUUCAAAUAAUCAAUACAGGUAUAAAUCUAAUGAAAUAACGAAAUAGGCACCACUCCAUCAAAAUUUUGUGGUAUACCUUUCCCUAUUCAGUGAUCACCUUCCAAGCGUAAUCUACCGGGGGCUAGCCUCUCCUAAUUUCUCCACCCCAUCGACGGCCACGCCAACGCGUUUCACCGAAUCGAACAGGGGCAAGACCCUCUUCCUGUAAUGAAUAGGGCGAGAAAGUUCUUCGUCGAGGUCGAUAUUGAUGCUGGUGACGCCAAUCUCC